GGGUAUAUGAUUGGAAUGUGUGUUUCUUGGUAUGUUGACUUUGUAAACCAAUGUGGGAUGUAGCCUUGUCCAUUGAUGUUCAAAAAGGUUAUGGCAGCUAGUGCAUGACAGUAUGGGAUGCCUGUUAAAGUCAACUUUCUGCAACUGCAUUCCAAUUUAUUUAUUUCAACCACAUACUUCUCACCAAUCAUUGAAGUGUUUCUCACCUCAAAGAUUCUCAGUCCUGAC
rnacentral:lncRNA from 1 species